GAUGAACGCUAGCGGCAGGCCUAAUACAUGCAAGUCGAACGGAUAUAUGUUUUUCGGAAUAUAUAUUAGUGGCGCACGGGUGAGUAACACGUACAUAACUUGCCCUCAAGCGGGGGAUAGCCUUGGGAAACUGAGAGUAAUACCCCAUAGAAUUAUUGGGCGGCAUCGUUUGAUAAUUAAAAACUACGGUGCUUGGGGAUAGAUGUGCGUCUGAUUAGCUGGUUGGUGAGGUAACUGCUCACCAAGGCGACGAUCAGUAGGGGGCGUGAGAGCGUGGCCCCCCACACGGGUACUGAGACACGGACCCGACUCCUACGGGAGGCAGCAGUAAGGAAUAUUGGUCAAUGGAGGGAACCCUGAACCAGCCAUGCCGCGUGAAGGAUGACGGCCCUCUGGGUUGUAAACUUCUUUUGGAUGGGGCGAAAAAACGGGAUUUAUCCUGGACUGACGGUACCAUCAGAAUAAGCACCGGCUAACUCCGUG
rnacentral:rRNA from 1 species